UACGAAGGGUGCAAGCGUUACUCGGAAUUACUGGGCGUAAAGCGUGCGUAGGUGGUGAGUUAAGUCUGUCGUGAAAGCCCCGGGCUCAACCUGGGAAUGGCGAUGGAUACUGGCUCGCUAGAGUGCGGUAGAGGAGAGUGGAAUUCCCGGUGUAGCAGUGAAAUGCGUAGAGAUCGGGAGGAACAUCAGUUGCGAAGGCGGCUCUCUGGACCAGCACUGACACUGAGGCACGAAAGCGUGGGGAGCAAACAGGAUUAGAUACCCUGGUAGUCCACGCCCUAAACGAUGCGAACUGGACGUUGGGAGCAAUCAGGCUCUCAGUGUCGAAGCUAACGCGUUAAGUUCGCCGCCUGGGGAGUACGGUCGCAAGACUG
rnacentral:rRNA from 1 species